CAGAAAUGUAGAAUGACAGUCGCUCAAUCUGUUGCAAGCAAUGACUUUCAAACAGCAAGUGCUAAAGAAGCCAAACACGCAGAAUUACAAGUCCAACGCUGAAACUGCUGGAAAAGAACAGUGAAAAAGAUACAGGUCUUCAUUCUUGAUGGGAUUCAGAAACUGAACUACUGUGUCUUCACAGACAAAUAAUCCAAAAUCAGCCUAAGAGUGUGGAGUAAACAGCAUCAAGCCUCUCUUUAAUAGGGAACUCAUCUACAAAAACAAACACUUGUUAUACUUUUAUGAAUUAUCAAGUUGUACAACACACAGCAAUAAGGAUUUAGACAAACAAUCACAGAUUUUAUUAAUUUUAUUGUUGUGUCUAAUAUAUAUAGAAACAACUUGUGUUGUAAAAGAAAGGAUGACAGCAUAUCUCUUUAUCACGUGCCAGUAUAGGCCCUGACUGCACGUGAGAACAUUUGAAUUAUCUGGCACGAGGUCUCACACGUCAUACUUCAACUGACACAACGGUCUCGAUGGUAGGAAUAAGCAAAAGCUCCUUUAAAUUUCGUCAUUUUUUUUAUACACAUCCCGUUUAUUUUGUAGUUAAUUGUUAGAUAAGUUAGUAAUUUCGUAAAUUUUUCGUUACAGGGUAAGAUUUCGUUACCAUAUACAGUAAAUAUUGGUUCAAGAGGGCAGUUUGAUAACUCAGUCGAGGUUUGUAACUGGUAAAUAACUUAUUCGAGGGGUUUCUGUUCCUGCAGUCUUUCAGGGGUGCUGGCGCGUAUGACGAUGCGGACAUGAACAGAAUACUACAGUAUACCGCCACCUACUGUACUGUAGUACAAUAACGUCUUUUAAACAUCUAAACAUGUCCUCCAAAAAGGUUUCCUGUGCUGUUUUGCUCCAUUUUACUGAACAAAAUAAGGCUGAGGUAGCACCAUCCUUGUGGUUAGAGUGAAAGGAUGUGGGUAUUGAGACCAAAAUAAACAAUGUGCCAUUCUGGACAAACAGCUGUGGACAAUAUGCAGUCAGAGUAGCCCAUUUUCUCACACAGACCUGAGGAUAAGAUUUCCAGUUUGAAAGUGAAGAAAAUGAAUCAUUAUUAACAGCAAAUAGGAGUAUUUCUCAGCUGAAAAGCCAGGUGAAACUAUAAGGUCACUAUGAUUCACUUUCAUAUUAUCAUUCUUUUCAGAUUUUUUUCCCUGUGUUUUUUUUGUUAGAUGAGGAGCAACCAGUAAGAAAAAGCAAAAAGAUGUUUUGAUGUUGCCUGAGGCACCUUAUUUUCCAUUUCAUGCACAAUCACAAAUGCAGCACAUCAAUCAAUUUCUUCCAACCAGCGAAUCAAGAAAUCUUGGAGUGGAGAAUCAUUCUGAAAGUAGACCAAAUCCAGGACAACAUCACAACAGUGGUCGGAAAAAUGCAGCAAGCCAAGCUGACUUUCAAAAGAUGAUUCGUUAUCUGUUUCUUCAGAGGGGAGGCAGUUUGGGAGAUGGGAAUUAGGAGGAUGCUACAGUUACACAGGGCGAAUUUCAGCAGCUCAGUUUCAAACUUGCAACUAACAUUGAGUUAAAGGUGGAAGACCAGCUGACGUACCAGUUUUGCCAGGUUAAAGGACCAGCUUAAACCAGCUAAGACAGCCAACCAACUUAGCCAAGGUGGUAUAUGCUGGUGGGUCAGCUGGUCUUCCCGCCUGACCAGCUAAGACCAGCUACAAAGUGGCCAAAACCUCUGUAAAACAAUCCUGCUACACCAGCCUGACCAGCUGAAACCAUACUGGGAGUAUUCAUAUUCAUAUCGAUUUGCAUUUACACAUAAAAUAGGUAACAUACAGUACUGUGCAAAGUCUAGGCCACCAUCACCAGCUUUGUUGUUUUAGCUAAAUUUAAAUGUCCAUCCAUAUUUAUUUUUUACUCUUUUUAUUAAGAUACAAACAGAAAAUACAGGAAAUAUGUACACAAAAUUAAAAACAUCAGUCAGUAUUUAGUGUGACUUCUCUUGGCACGAAACACAUCUUGAGCUUUUUUGAGGAGACUGAAGUCAUUCGAUUAGAAUUAGAAAGGAUUAAAUUUUAUUUAUGUGUAAGAGAUCCUGCAGUUGCCUGCUAUUGCUCAAGUUGAAGGUGAGUUUACCCUAAAUACUUUAAACUUCAGCUUAAACUUUUAUACUGUUUUUAAAUACUACAUACACAUUUCCUGUAUUUUCUGGUUGUAUUCUAAUAAAGAGACUGAGAAAUAAACAUAUGAUCACUACACAAUUGCAAAAACAACAAAUCUAAUGGUAGCAUGCAGACUUUUGCACAGAACUGUAUGUCCACAUUUAGCCACCUUUACUUUGAGUGAACUGUAACAGCAACUAUAAUGCCAUAAACAUUCAAUACUAAGGUAAAAGAGAGUUGUGAAUGCUUUCUAGUUUUAGCACAGAAUUCUGUCUCCCUUUUAAAUGUUUGCUACAGAUUUUUUGCAAGACAUUUUUGUCCAACCUAAAAACAACUUGUACUGACAUAUAUUAAAAUACAUCAGUGCCCUUUGUUUUUUUUUUUUUACAUCAGAUUGCAUACAAGUAAUGUUUUAGUAAGGCAUGUUUGUUAAAACUGGUUAUAUUUCAUAAUUAAACUGAGGCAUAGUCCUGGUUUAAGCUCCUUGUCUGGGAAACCACCCCAAUAAAUACUUAACUUUUGAAUGUGUUCGUUUCGUUGUUUUAGGUUAGAAGACCACGGAAAUAUUUGACAUCGGAGUCCAGCAGACAGCCAGAGACACCCACACACACGCAGCUGAAGCGCGUUUGACUGACGCGUACGGGAGAUCCGGCACGCGCACGGGAGCUCGCGCACGCUCACACAAACACGGAGCACAGGAUAAUUAGAACU